ACCACAGCGCACCACAUUUUCCAAAAACAAAUUCCACGCCCACGCCCCUCGCCCCACGCCUACACUUUCACUUUUAGCUUUCUCCGGCCCUUUGGGUUGUGGGGCUUGUGUUCCAUGGACACACUUUAAUCCUUUUUGAUGGUUUUUUGAGCGUUUAAAGUGUGCCCGGCAAUGUCGAACAUUUUAUAUAACAAUUAUAUAAAUUUCCG
rnacentral:lncRNA from 1 species